AUCUAAAUAGCUUAAUUUAAAGCUUAAUAUUGAAGAUAUUAUUAUGAUUGUUUAAUCUUUAGAUA
rnacentral:tRNA from 1 species